rnacentral:antisense_RNA from 1 species
AAGUCUCCGAAGGGUGCUGUCCCUGUCAAUGAAAUAAGAAGCGGCUAGCUGAUGUAGCGUCUCCAGAGUGACCGAAGAGCUAUUGGCGCUGGAAUCACUUCCUUCAGCUCGUUUGCUCAACUUCCGCUUGUCCACAAAAAUUGUUAGACUAGUUUUGGGCUGCUGAGAGCAUAAAUGUGAAAAUAGGCAAGAGUUACAGAGUUACAGAGUUCCUCUACAUUAAGAAUGACUUUUAGGCCCAUUUGCUUUUUACAUCCUACUGGUGUUUAACCUGGAGUCUUCUGCUAUUUUACAAAGAGUAUUAAAACAUGUCUCUCUGGAGUCAAAUAUUCCAUUUCAGACACCUCCCUUUAUGAUGUCAAUCUAAGGGUUGAGCUAAGGGAAAUAAAUGUGAUUAUUGUUAUGAGGGCAUUCAGUGAGAUGGCAGCAGCCUGUAAGCCAGAAACACAGGCAUCACCAGAAACUGACCAUGCUGGUACCCUAAUCUCAGACUUCCAGAUUUCUGAAGAACUUCAAAGAAACAAAAGUCUAUUGUUUAAGCCACCUAGUCUGUCGUAUUUUGUUAUGGCAGUGUGAGCUAAUGAAUACACUACCUUUAAAAUAUAAA